rfam:Dipodomys ordii contig_69101, whole genome shotgun sequence.
GGAUGUAAGGAAGAGCAUCCUGCAACAUCUGUCACUGACUUGAUCACCUGGGUUGAUUAGAUUGAUGUGGAUGGCUAUACACGUGUCCUCUUCUUCCUCACGGCUCUAUGUGUGGCUCUCCCAAAGCUGGACAUUUGGUCACAGAGGACAACCAUUCCUGAUAGAGGAGGACCAUUCUUCAGUCAAGGACAUACCGGCAGCUUGCACGCCCCUGCUAGAACCUAUAAUCUCUCAAGAAAUUCACUGAAGGCACGGGGGAAAAAUGAUGUGAUGGGGCUAGUUGCUGGUGGAGGAAAUUGGCCCAAAUGCUCAUUUGUUUUGAGAUUUCUUU